CCUACGGGAGGCAGCAGUGAGGAAUAUUGGUCAAUGGGCGUAAGCCUGAACCAGCCAAGUCGCGUGAGGGAUGAAGGUUCUAUGGAUCGUAAACCUCUUUUAUAAGGGAAUAAAGUGUGGGACGUGUCCUGUUUUGUAUGUACCUUAUGAAUAAGGAUCGGCUAACUCCGUGCCAGCAGCCGCGGUAAUACGGAGGAUCCGAGCGUUAUCCGGAUUUAUUGGGUUUAAAGGGUGCGUAGGCGGCCUUUUAAGUCAGCGGUGAAAGUCUGUGGCUCAACCAUCGAAUUGCCGUUGAAACUGGGAGGCUUGAGUAUGUUUGAGGCAGGCGGAAUGCGUGGUGGAGCGGUGAAAUGCUUAGAUAUCACGCAGAACCCCGAUUGCGAAGGCAGCCUGCCAAGCCAUGACUGACGCUGAUGCACGAAAGCGUGGGGAUCAAACAGGAUUAGAUACCCCAGUAAUC
rnacentral:rRNA from 1 species